CCUACGGGAGGCAGCAGUAGGGAAUUUUCGGCAAUGGGGGGAACCCUGACCGAGCAACGCCGCGUGAACGAAGAAGUUAUUCGUAAUGUAAAGCUCUUUUAACAGGGAAGAAAGAGAAAUUUGACGGUACCUGAAGAAUAAGCUCCGGCAAACUACGUGCCAGCAGCCGCGGUAAUACGUAGGGAGCGAGCGUUAUCCGGAAUUAUUGGGCGAAAAGGGUGCGUAGAUGGCAUAGUAAGUAUUUUGUAAAAAUGCUGGGCUCAACCCAGUAGGGCAAAAGAUACUGCAAAGCUAGAGUAUGACAGAGGCAAGUGGAACUACAUGUGUAGCGGUAAAAUGCGUAAAUAUAUGUAAGAACACCAGUGGCGAAGGCGGCUUGCUGGGUCGAUACUGACAUUGAGGCACGAAAGCGUGGGGAGCAAACAGGAUUAGAUACCCGAGUAGUC
rnacentral:rRNA from 1 species